rnacentral:lncRNA from 13 species
GUUAUCUUAGAUUCACAUUACGGAUUUGGGGGAAGUGAAAUAGGCUUCCACAUCUACAGUACAGCGUCUCAUCGGGGAAACACACAGCGUCUCAUCGGGGAAACACACGUCUCAUCGGCGAAACACACGUCUCAUCGGGGAAACACGUCUCAUCGGGGAAACACGUCUCAUCUGCGAAACACACGUCUCAUCGGGGAAACACACGUCUCAUCGGGGAAACACACGUCUCAUCGGGGAAACACACGUCUCAUCAGGGAAACACACGUCUCAUCUGCGAAACACACGUCUCAUCGGGGAAACACGUCUCAUCGGGGAAACACACACGCCAAUCAGGGUGUUCACUGACUCUUUAACAACCUUCACACACCACAUUCCCUAAAUACUGUCAAAACAGUCACACAUUGCAACAGCCAUAUCAGAGUGUGGUUAAGUGAAGUGGUUCUCCA